ACUCAAAGGAAUAGACGGGGGCCCGCACAAGCAGUGGAGUAUGUGGUUUAAUUCGAAGCAACGCGAAGAACCUUACCAGGGCUUGACAUCGUUGUGCAUAGCGUGGAAACACGUGAAACCCUUUGGGCACAACGACAGGUGGUGCAUGGUUGUCGUCAGCUCGUGUCGUGAGAUGUUGGGUUAAGUCCCGCAACGAGCGCAACCCCUGUUGUUAGUUGCUACAUUAAGUUGAGCACUCUAGCGAGACUGCCGGUGACAAAUCGGAGGAAGGUGGGGACGACGUCAAAUCAUCAUGCCCCUUAUGUCCUGGGCUACACACGUACUACAAUGGCCGUUAACAACGGGUCGCGAAGCCGCGAGGCGGAGCUAAUCCCCAAAAACGGUCCCAGUUCGGAUUGUAGGCUGCAACUCGCCUACAUGAAGUCGGAAUUGCUAGUAAUCGCGAAUCAGCAUGUCGCGGUGAAUACGUUCCCGGGCCUUGCACACACCGCCCGU
rnacentral:rRNA from 1 species